rnacentral:misc_RNA from 1 species
GCAAACUUGGUCAUUUAGAGGAAGUAAAAGUCGUAACAAGGUUUCCGUAGGUGAACCUGCGGAAGGAUCAUUAACGAACUGUCAAAUGCGGUUGUUGCUGGCCUUCAAAAGGAGGCAUGUGCACGCUUCGUUUACAACAUCCACUUCACACCUGUGCACCCUCUGUAGCUCUAUGGGUCUAGGGGAACCCUGUUCUCCUCCUGUAGCUCUACUUUUUUUUACAAACACGCUGUAACGAUGUCUUGUGGAAUGCCUUCUGCGUUUAACGCAAUACAGUAUAACUUUCAGCAACGGAUCUCUUGGCUCUCGCAUCGAUGAAGAACGCAGC